UGAACCUUAGGAUUUCGAUUUUGGUGUUACCCAAGCGUCCGCGGAGUAGAGGGCUUCAUUUCUACCGAACGUCCUCUUCAUUCCAAUCGUGGAUUUCGUUUUCGUACGUUCCGCCUAAUCAAACUCUAAAAGCUGCUACGGUCACCACUUUGGUGAUUUGAGGUUGAGUUCUUAUGCUGUCAAGGGUACUGCUAGGACAGUUUCAGUAGUUGUGCUUGGAGAAACCCAGGUAAGGGGAGCUAAUUAUUUUUCUUUGAAUUUAUUUCUUGAAUCUGCUUUGUAAAUGAAUGCAUGUUGAAUUUUGGACCGUCGUGCGGUUUUGUACGGUACUGGUUUU
rnacentral:sRNA from 1 species